rnacentral:misc_RNA from 1 species
GCCCUCAUCUUCAUGCCUUCUUUGGCGACUUGGUGGCCUUGGAUGGCGAUUUGGGCUCCUUGUCACUCCCGGUCUUCUUGGGCAGCAGCACAGAGUUGAUGUUCGGCAGCACACCACCGUGAGCGAUGGUGACGCCGCCCAACAAUUUCCCCAACUCGGCGUCGUUCCUCACAGCCAGCAGCAGGUGCCUCGGAAUUAUCCGGUUCUUCUUGUUGUCCUUCGCAGCGU